GUUAUAUGGUCAAGUGAAGAAGCGCAUACGGUGGAUGCCUUGGCAGUCAGAGGCGAUGAAAGACGUGGUAGCCUGCGAAAAGCUUCGGGGAGUCGGCAAACAGACUGUGAUCCGGAGAUGUCUGAAUGGGGGAACCCAGCCAUCAUAAGAUGGUUAUCUUACACUGAAUACAUAGGUGUAAGAGGCGAACCAGGGGAACUGAAACAUCUAAGUACCCUGAGGAAAAGAAAUCAACCGAGAUUCCCUUAGUAGUGGCGAGCGAACGGGGACCAGCCCUUAAGUUGUAUUGAGAUUAGCGGAACGCUCUGGAAAGGGCGGCCAUAGUGGGUGAUAGCCCUGUACGCGAAAAUCCCUUUGCAAUGAAAUCGAGUAGGACGGGGCACGAGAAACCUUGUCUGAAUAUGGGGGGACCAUCCUCCAAGGCUAAAUACUACUGACUGACCGAUAGUGAACCAGUACCGUGAGGGAAAGGCGAAAAGAACCGCGGAGAGCGGAGUGAAAUAGAUCCUGAAACCGUAUGCGUACAAGCAGUGGGAGCCCACGUUGUUGGGUGACUGCGUACCUUUUGUAUAAUGGGUCAGCGACUUAUUUUCAGUGGCGAGCUUAACCGAAUAGGGGAGGCGUAGCGAAAGCGAGUCUUAAUAGGGCGUCUAGUCGCUGGGAAUAGACCCGAAACCGGGCGAUCUAUCCAUGGGCAGGUUGAAGGUUGGGUAACACUAACUGGAGGACCGAACCGACUACCGUUGAAAAGUUAGCGGAUGACCUGUGGAUCGGAGUGAAAGGCUAAUCAAGCUCGGAGAUAGCUGGUUCUCCUCGAAAGCUAUUUAGGUAGCGCCUCAUGUAUCACUGUAGGGGGUAGAGCACUGUUUCGGCUAGGGGGUCAUCCCGACUUACCAAACCGAUGCAAACUCCGAAUACCUACAAGUGCCGAGCAUGGGAGACACACGGCGGGUGCUAACGUCCGUCGUGAAAAGGGAAACAACCCAGACCGUCAGCUAAGGUCCCAAAGUCAUGGUUAAGUGGGAAACGAUGUGGGAAGGCUUAGACAGCUAGGAGGUUGGCUUAGAAGCAGCCACCCUUUAAAGAAAGCGUAAUAGCUCACUAGUCGAGUCGGCCUGCGCGGAAGAUGUAACGGGGCUCAAACCAUGCACCGAAGCUACGGGUAUCACCUUUGGUGAUGCGGUAGAGGAGCGUUCUGUAAGCCUGUGAAGGUGAGUUGAGAAGCUUGCUGGAGGUAUCAGAAGUGCGAAUGCUGACAUGAGUAACGACAAUGGGUGUGAAAAACACCCACGCCGAAAGACCAAGGUUUCCUGCGCAACGUUAAUCGACGCAGGGUUAGUCGGUCCCUAAGGCGAGGCUGAAAAGCGUAGUCGAUGGAAAACAGGUUAAUAUUCCUGUACUUCUGGUUAUUGCGAUGGAGGGACGGAGAAGGCUAGGCCAGCCUGGCGUUGGUAGUCCAGGUUUAAGGUGGUAGGCUGAGAUCUUAGGUAAAUCCGGGAUCUUAAGGCCGAGAGCUGAUGACGAGUGUUCUUUUAGAACAUGAAGUGGUUGAUGCCAUGCUUCCAAGAAAAGCUUCUAAGCUUCAGGUAACCAGGAACCGUACCCCAAACCGACACAGGUGGUUGGGUAGAGAAUACCAAGGCGCUUGAGAGAACUCGGGUGAAGGAACUAGGCAAAAUGGCACCGUAACUUCGGGAGAAGGUGCGCCGGUGAGGGUGAAGCAUUUACUGCGUAAGCCCACGCCGGUCGAAGAUACCAGGCCGCUGCGACUGUUUAUUAAAAACACAGCACUCUGCAAACACGAAAGUGGACGUAUAGGGUGUGACGCCUGCCCGGUGCCGGAAGGUUAAUUGAUGGGGUUAGCGCAAGCGAAGCUCUUGAUCGAAGCCCCGGUAAACGGCGGCCGUAACUAUAACGGUCCUAAGGUAGCGAAAUUCCUUGUCGGGUAAGUUCCGACCUGCACGAAUGGCGUAACGAUGGCGGCGCUGUCUCCACCCGAGACUCAGUGAAAUUGAAAUCGCUGUGAAGAUGCAGUGUAUCCGCGGCUAGACGGAAAGACCCCGUGAACCUUUACUAUAGCUUUGCACUGGACUUUGAAUUUGCUUGUGUAGGAUAGGUGGGAGGCUUUGAAGCGUGGACGCCAGUCUGCGUGGAGCCAACCUUGAAAUACCACCCUGGCAACUUUGAGGUUCUAACUCAGGUCCGUUAUCCGGAUCGAGGACAGUGUAUGGUGGGUAGUUUGACUGGGGCGGUCUCCUCCUAAAGAGUAACGGAGGAGUACGAAGGUGCGCUCAGACCGGUCGGAAAUCGGUCGUAGAGUAUAAAGGCAAAAGCGCGCUUGACUGCGAGACAGACACGUCGAGCAGGUACGAAAGUAGGUCUUAGUGAUCCGGUGGUUCUGUAUGGAAGGGCCAUCGCUCAACGGAUAAAAGGUACUCCGGGGAUAACAGGCUGAUACCGCCCAAGAGUUCAUAUCGACGGCGGUGUUUGGCACCUCGAUGUCGGCUCAUCACAUCCUGGGGCUGAAGCCGGUCCCAAGGGUAUGGCUGUUCGCCAUUUAAAGUGGUACGCGAGCUGGGUUUAGAACGUCGUGAGACAGUUCGGUCCCUAUCUGCCGUGGACGUUUGAGAUUUGAGAGGGGCUGCUCCUAGUACGAGAGGACCGGAGUGGACGAACCUCUGGUGUUCCGGUUGUCACGCCAGUGGCAUUGCCGGGUAGCUAUGUUCGGAAAAGAUAACCGCUGAAAGCAUCUAAGCGGGAAACUUGCCUCAAGAUGAGAUCUCACUGGAACCUUGAGUUCCCUGAAGGGCCGUCGAAGACUACGACGUUGAUAGGUUGGGUGUGUAAGCGCUGUGAGGCGUUGAGCUAACCAAUACUAAUUGCCCGUGAGGCUUGACCAUAUAACACCCAAGCAAUU
rnacentral:rRNA from 2 species